GAAAAAUAACUGAUUUCUAUGAAGCCUGAAAUAAAUGAAUCUGCUUCGCUUGUUAUGUGACUAAUGAUCUUCAUCAGCACUGAGCUGCAUCAGCAUUGCAUUCAGUCUUUCUCCUUCACAGAUAAUGUCUAUUCUGGAAUUUAUGAGUACCACUACCUGUGUUUUAUAAAACUCACUUAUUGGGUCUUCUGAGAGUUCACAGCCUCUAGCAAAUGGAACUCAUCCACUGAUACGGAUCCAUGAAGACUCACUCAACUAUUUGAAGCCCAAUCCAAACAAUGCUUUCUUGUCAAUAUCUUCUGCUUGAUCAUUCUUGGAAUCAUGGUUUUGGGUAUCAAUUGUUAGCAGAGCAUUCUAGUUGUUUGUGUGUGGAGUCUGAGUGAAGGAAGGGAAUGCACAGAAUAUGCAACAUAUCCAAACACCACUGAAGGUGUUCAGAACAUUCUCAUUGCUGUGACAAAAUACAUGAUGAAAGCCACCUAAGGAAGAAAGGGUUUAUUUUGGCUCACAGUCAGAGGGUCCAGUCAUCAUGACAGGGAAGGCAUGGCGGCAGGGGCAUGAGGUAGCUUGUCACAUUGCACCUGCAGUCAAGAAGCAGAGAGAGAUUAAUACUGGUGCUCAGCUCACUUUCUCCUCUUUAUGGUGUCUGGUACACCAGCCCAUGAAAUGGUGCCAGCCACAUUCCCUCUUCAGCUCAGCCUUUCUAGAAAUACCCUUUUAGGCAUAACAAGGUGUGUUUCCAAGGUGAUUCUAAAUCCAUUCAAGUUGACAAUGAAAACUAACCAUCACGACAUCAAAGAUCACUUUCUAGCUAAGAGUUUUCUAUUUAAUAAGGAAUGUUGAACUCAAUGAUAGUCUUCUCAACCUAUCAAAAAUAAAAAUAAAAGGUAAAUGUGAGAAAAUAUCAAGAAAAUGGUAGCACAAAACUAAAAAAAUACUAAGAUACAACUGUGUGCUAUUCAUAUAUAGAUAUAUAGUAAUUCACUGAUAUAUUUAUUCAACACUUUCAGGUAUCUGAGAGAAUAGUGAUGCAAUGUGACUUAUGCUUAUGAUGUGUUAUAUUCUAAAAAGCUUUUCACAGGAUCAUUUCAUCUGAUAAAAAUAAUGAGAGCAGGAGGCAGAAAUUGGCUAGGCAGUUUAGGAUAAAGACACCAAAAGAAAAAUAACCAUUUCUUUCUCAGAUGGGAGCUGGAAACUCCCUUGGAUCUGCCAGUAAACUCAUUUUAGCCUGAGGCUAGAGGUGCCAGGACUAUCUAAUCCAAAGAUGUCUCUGAUUCUCCCAUAGCUAAAGGCUGUGGAUGCCAAUUAAGGGGGUCUUUUUUUUGUUUCCUUAUCUCUCUUUUUCCUGAAGUAAUACCUUGUUCCUGGAAGACAUGCUGAGGAUGUGACCAGGACUUCGAGGGACCUGGACACCUGGAAUGAGAACUGACUGACCAACUCAUGUCCCACUUCCUUCCUCCCUCCACUAAACUGUUAUUAAAACUCCUGAAUGAUAAAACUCAAUAUAAUCCCAUUCCCUGGUCCCCUCCUGCUGCCCAGGAGCUCUGCUUUCUCUUUCCUACUGUCCCUAUAAUAAAAUAUCCCUUUC